rnacentral:lncRNA from 1 species
UGUGCUCUACUGCACUCUUUUUUUUUUUUUUUUUUUUUUUUUUUUUUUGAGACAGAGUCUCGCUCAGUCACCCAGGCUGGAGUGCAGUGGUGCCAUCUCGGCUCACUGCAAGCUCCGCCUCCCAGGUUCACGCCAUUCUCCUGCCUCAGCCUCCUGAGUAGCUGGGACUACAGGCGCCCACCACCACACCCGGCUAAUUUUUUGUAUUUUUAGUAGAGAUGGGGUUUCACUGUGUUAGCCAGGAUGGUCUCGAUCUCCUGACCUCGUGAUCCACCCGCCUCGGCCUCCCAAAGUGCUGAGAUUACAAGCGUGAGCCACCACGCCCGGCCUACUCUGCACUCUUUCUACCAGCAGUCGUGGCUUUGCUCCCACAUGGACCUGCUGAAUGAGAUGCAGACAAGCCCUGAUCCAUUCUAAGACCAGCCCUUGCUGCUUGUCAAGGCCUGGAUCUCCUACUACUGUAUAAGGUGGCCCCCAGAGAAUGGCAGGGGUGAGAUCUCUCUGUUAGAGUUCUUUGGAAUGGACACAAUGAGUCCUGGCCCUUCCGAGCCCCUGGAGGCCACACCAGGCUGCCCGGGAAGUAUCAGGCAGAGAUCAGAUUGCAAAGAUACAUGGCAACACAGCCACUCUGCCAGCCCACGGGAAUCCAGGCCAAGAAUAGAUAAUGCUUAUACCAAGCAUGCAUCAUCAUUGCUAGGUGUCUUAGAACUAACUGCUUCAGGCGCCACAUUGCUCUUAGCUGCUUCUUCCAAAUCCCUCAAUAAAAGGAAUCCAGGCAUAACCAUCAACAAAAAGAACUCAACUCCAAAUCUGCUCAUCUGUCUUAUCCCCAAGUCUCCCUUUCCUCCAGGCCCCUAGUACUGUCACUGAGCUCAGGUAACAAUUGUCCGGAUCAUGUCUGGAGCUUCACCAGCACAAAGCUUUCUUUCCUAUGUGAAGCCAGAGUAGAAUGCUGCCAUCUGCCAGCUGCCCCACGCUCUCGGCUGUGGGGUAGCUGCAGAGCGGUGUAGGGGAAAAAACAUGAACUCUGAAAUUAUCAUAUCAGCUGUGCCACCCUGAACAAAUUACAAUCCUCAAUGGCUCUGAAUCUCAGUUUGCCCACUUGUAAACUGAUGUCAGCAAUACCUACCCUGCGAGAUUGACCUGGGAAUUAAAUGAAACUCUGCAGGUAAAGCACCGGACCUACACUCGGGGCUCAGUGAAGAGGAGCUAUUUUUAUAGACUUUCACUCACUUGGCUGAGUAAUUCAGUUCCAGAAACAAAACGGACAGUUUGAGAAAGCAGUGAUUUAAAAUGAAUCCCAAGCCAGAGGUCCUUUUGGCACUUUACCUGAAGUGAACUGGAUUCUGUUUGGAUUAAGGAAAAACAGACUUGUUCUCUAAGAAUUUAGCAGUCAAUUCAGACAGAUGCCAAAUCCAUGAAAAACUCUCUGAUUUUGUCACGCAAACCCCAGAGCGGAAGUCAGACCCAGGCAGAUUCAGGUUUUCAGGUGACCUGAAGCAAAUCGUUUCACUGGCCAGUCUAGAUCUCAGUGGUUCCAAGCCCAGCUACCAUUCGCAUUACCUGGAGAUCUUUUCUAGACUAUGGGUACCAAGCCCCACUCCAAACCAGUUUCAUCAGGAUUUCUGCAGGGUGCAGACUGAGGAUCAAGAAUUUUAAGAGCCCCUGGGGUGAUCCUAAUGUAAGCUCCACUGGACCAGAAGUGCUCCAAGAUCCUCGCCAGGUAUCCCUGGUGCCUACAACCAUGUAUGAUUCAGAGUAGAUAUUUAGUAUAUGUUUAUUGAGUAAAUGAAUGAAGAUUCUGACUCAACUUU